rnacentral:rRNA from 1 species
UACCUGCAGCUCGAGUGGUAACCGCUUUUAUUGGGCCUAAAGCGUCCGUAGCCGGUUUGGUAAAUAUCUGGGUAAAUCGUGAGGCUUAACUUCACGAAUUUCGGAUAGACUGCCAGACUUGGGAUCGGGGGAGGUCAGAGGUACUCCAGGGGUAGCGGUGAAAUGUUGUAAUCCUUGGAGGACCACCGGUAGCGAAGGCGUCUGACUAGAACGAGUCCGACGGUGAGGGACGAAGCCCUGGGGCGCAAACCGGAUUAGAUACCCGGGUAGUCCAGGGUGUAAACAAUGUGGGCUUUGUAUUGGAGGUCCCACGUGGGCGUCCAGUGCAGAAGAGAAGUUGUUAAGCCCACCGCCUGGGAAGUACGGUCGCAAGGCUGAAAUUUAAAGGAAUUGGCGGGGGAACACAGCAACGGGAGGAGCGUGCGGUUU